UACGUAGGGGGCUAGCGUUGUCCGGAUUUAUUGGGCGUAAAGAGCGCGUAGGCGGCCGAGUAAGUCCGACGUGAAAUCUGGAGGCUCAACCUCCAGCGGUCGUUGGAAACUACUCGGCUAGAGACCGGAAGAGGAGAGUGGAAUUCCUGGUGUAGCGGUGAAAUGCGCAGAUAUCAGGAAGAACACCGAUGGCGAAAGCAGCUCUCUGGGACGGUACUGACGCUGAGGCGCGAAAGCGUGGGGAGCGAGCAGG
rnacentral:rRNA from 1 species